rnacentral:rRNA from 1 species
CCUUUUGUAUAAUGGGUCAGCGACUUAUAUUCUGUAGCAAGGUUAACCGAAUAGGGGAGCCGAAGGGAAACCGAGUCUUAACUGGGCGUUAAGUUGCAGGGUAUAGACCCGAAACCCGGUGAUCUAGCCAUGGGCAGGUUGAAGGUUGGGUAACACUAACUGGAGGACCGAACCGACUAAUGUUGAAAAAUUAGCGGAUGACUUGUGGCUGGGGGUGAAAGGCCAAUCAAACCGGGAGAUAGCUGGUUCUCCCCGAAAGCUAUUUAGGUAGCGCCUCGUGAAUUCAUCUCCGGGGGUAGAGCACUGUUUCGGCAAGGGGGUCAUCCCGACUUACCAACCCGAUGCAAACUGCGAAUACCGGAGAAUGUUAUCACGGGAGACACACGGCGGGUGCUAACGUCCGUCGUGAAGAGGGAAACAACCCAGACCGCCAGCUAAGGUCCCAAAGUCAUGGUUAAGUGGGAAACGAUGUGGGAAGGCCCAGACAGCCAGGAUGUUGGCUUAGAAGCAGCCAUCAUUUAAAGAAAGCGUAAUAGCUCACUGGUCGAGUCGGCCUGCGCGGAAGAUGUAACGGGGCUAAACCAUGCACCGAAGCUGCGGCAGCGACGCUGAUGCGUUGUUGGGUAGGGGAGCGUUCUGUAAGCCUGCGAAGGUGUGCUGUGAGGCAUGCUGGAGGUAUCAGAAGUGCGAAUGCUGACAUAAGUAACGAUAAAGCGGGUGAAAAGCCCGCUCGCCGGAAGACCAAGGGUUCCUGUCCAACGUUAAUCGGGGCAGGGUGAGUCGACCCCUAAGGCGAGGCCGAAAGGCGUAGUCGAUGGGAAACAGGUUAAUAUUCCUGUACUUGGUGUUACUGCGAAGGGGGGACGGAGAAGGCUAUGUUGGCCGGGCGACGGUUGUCCCGGUUUAAGCGUGUAGGCUGGUUUUCCAGGCAAAUCCGGAAAAUCAAGGCUGAGGCGUGAUGACGAGGCACUACGGUGCUGAAGCAACAAAUGCCCUGCUUCCAGGAAAAGCCUCUAAGCAUCAGGUAACAUCAAAUCGUACCCCAAACCGACACAGGUGGUCAGGUAGAGAAUACCAAGGCGCUUGAGAGAACUCGGGUGAAGGAACUAGGCAAAAUGGUGCCGUAACUUCGGGAGAAGGCACGCUGAUAUGUAGGUGAAGUCCCUCGCGGAUGGAGCUGAAAUCAGUCGAAGAUACCAGCUGGCUGCAACUGUUUAUUAAAAACACAGCACUGUGCAAACACGAAAGUGGACGUAUACGGUGUGACGCCUGCCCGGUGCCGGAAGGUUAAUUGAUGGGGUUAGCCGCAAGGCGAAGCUCUUGAUCGAAGCCCCGGUAAACGGCGGCCGUAACUAUAACGGUCCUAAGGUAGCGAAAUUCCUUGUCGGGUAAGUUCCGACCUGCACGAAUGGCGUAAUGAUGGCCAGGCUGUCUCCACCCGAGACUCAGUGAAAUUGAACUCGCUGUGAAGAUGCAGUGUACCCGCGGCAAGACGGAAAGACCCCGUGAACCUUUACUAUAGCUUGACACUGAACAUUGAGCCUUGAUGUGUAGGAUAGGUGGGAGGCUUAGAAGUGUGGACGCCAGUCUGCAUGGAGCCGACCUUGAAAUACCACCCUUUAAUGUUUGAUGUUCUAACGUUGACCCGUAAUCCGGGUUGCGGACAGUGUCUGGUGGGUAGUUUGACUGGGGCGGUCUCCUCCUAAAGAGUAACGGAGGAGCACGAAGGUUGGCUAAUCCUGGUCGGACAUCAGGAGGUUAGUGCAAUGGCAUAAGCCAGCUUGACUGCGAGCGUGACGGCGCGAGCAGGUGCGAAAGCAGGUCAUAGUGAUCCGGUGGUUCUGAAUGGAAGGGCCAUCGCUCAACGGAUAAAAGGUACUCCGGGGAUAACAGGCUGAUACCGCCCAAGAGUUCAUAUCGACGGCGGUGUUUGGCACCUCGAUGUCGGCUCAUCACAUCCUGGGGCUGAAGUAGGUCCCAAGGGUAUGGCUGUUCGCCAUUUAAAGUGGUACGCGAGCUGGGUUUAGAACGUCGUGAGACAGUUCGGUCCCUAUCUGCCGUGGGCGCUGGAGAACUGAGGGGGGCUGCUCCUAGUACGAGAGGACCGGAGUGGACGCAUCACUGGUGUUCGGGUUGUCAUGCCAAUGGCACUGCCCGGUAGCUAAAUGCGGAAGAGAUAAGUGCUGAAAGCAUCUAAGCACGAAACUUGCC